GCCAUAUCACGUCCAAACACCGGUUUUCGUACGAUCCCUGAAGUUGAGCAACGUCGAGCCAACUCAGUACCUAGAUGGGUGAUCGUUUGAGAAUACCAAGUGUUGUAAG